rnacentral:rRNA from 1 species
UACAAAGGGGGCUAGCGUUGCUCGGAAUCACUGGGCGUAAAGGGUGCGUAGGCGGGUCUUUAAGUCAGGGGUGAAAUCCUGGAGCUCAACUCCAGAACUGCCUUUGAUACUGAGGAUCUUGAGUUCGGGAGAGGUGAGUGGAACUGCGAGUGUAGAGGUGAAAUUCGUAGAUAUUCGCAAGAACACCAGUGGCGAAGGCGGCUCACUGGCCCGAUACUGACGCUGAGGCAUGAAAGCGUGGGGAGCAAACAGG